UUGAACAUAGAAGCUGAAAUUUCCGAGAACUUGGCUAAUGCCUCAUCAAAGGUUAGUAAGGCGAGUUCAGGUUCAAAAGAUUCAGGAAUUGGUUGGUCUGCUGGUAUAGAAAGAGUUCUUUCUGAGUCAGUUGUGGCUUGAAUAUCUUCAAGGUUUUGGGAGGUUGGAUCGGGAUGAUCUGAACCAAAAUGUUCAGAGGUUGUGGUGAGGUCAUAGUAAGGAGGGGAGCUGUGGGUGAUGGAAAAGGUUGGUGAGAAAGGUUUCUUGAAUAACAGUGCUUCAGAACGUGGGAUGGUGGUUGUUUGGAGGUUGAAGAGAGGUAAUGGAGGAGAAGGUGUGAUGGUUCUAAGAGUUAUGGGUUUAGAGUUUGUGAGUUGUAAUGGAAAGGAUUGAGAAGGAGUAGGUUUUGAGUGGAUUUGGUUGGAU
rnacentral:lncRNA from 1 species